rnacentral:rRNA from 1 species
AGAGUUUGAUCAUGGCUCAGGACGAACGCUGGCGGCGUGCUUAACACAUGCAAGUCGAGCGGAAAGGCCCUUCGGGGUACUCGAGCGGCGAACGGGUGAGUAACACGUGAGUAAUCUGCCCCUAGCUCUGGGAUAGCUCCGGGAAACCGGGAUUAAUACCGGAUACGACCACUACGGACAUCUGUUUUGGUGGAAAGAAUUUCGGCUAGGGAUGAGCUCGCGGCCUAUCAGCUUGUUGGUGGGGUAACGGCCUACCAAGGCGACGACGGGUAGCCGGCCUGAGAGGGCGACCGGCCACACUGGGACUGAGACACGGCCCAGACUCCUACGGGAGGCAGCAGUGGGGAAUAUUGCGCAAUGGGCGAAAGCCUGACGCAGCGACGCCGCGUGGGGGAUGAAGGCCUUCGGGUUGUAAACCCCUUUCAGCAGGGACGAAGCGAAAGUGACGGUACCUGCAGAAGAAGCGCCGGCUAACUACGUGCCAGCAGCCGCGGUAACACGUAGGGCGCAAGCGUUGUCCGGAAUUAUUGGGCGUAAAGAGCUCGUAGGCGGUCUGUUGCGUCCGCUGUGAAAACUCGGGGCUUAACCCCGAGCCUGCAGUGGAUACGGGCAGACUAGAGGUAGGUAGGGGAGAAUGGAAUUCCCGGUGUAGCGGUGAAAUGCGCAGAUAUCGGGAGGAACACCGGUGGCGAAGGCGGUUCUCUGGGCCUUACCUGACGCUGAGGAGCGAAAGCGUGGGGAGCGAACAGGAUUAGAUACCCUCGUAGUCC